CUUGCGAUGAUGAUAAAACAGACAGGGACAUCAGCACCCUUCACAGGGGAUGAUGAUUUGUCGAUGGGAAUCUCUCUGAUGCUUG
rnacentral:snoRNA from 1 species